rnacentral:piRNA from 1 species
UUUUUUGAUACCUGGGCAGCUGGUGAU